AUCUCUGUAGUGCAAUAUAUAGCGAGUUGGAAUUCUACUCCAAGGGUUGUGGGUUCGAAUCCCACCUGGGGUG